GAAAUUUUCGACCUUACUUUGGAAUAAUUUUUAUGAUCCAAUUUGUCCACGGUGUAGAACUUAUCAAUUAUAAUGAUUUUGUUAGAUUUCAAGUCAAUCGGGUACUUCUUGGUAUCUGAUCGGAGAAGAUAUAUGUCCAAAAAAAAUUGGAAAAAAGUGAGCCGGUAACACUUGAUUACAACUUGAAAAGACUUUUUUCCUCCCGCCUUCUGUUCGUACUCCGUUGUAACAAUGUCGCCGAUCCAAGUCGACCUUCACCAUAGCCAAUCCGAGUUCCGAUCGCUGAGUCACCCGGCAGAGGUGUGUUCGCGACUCGAGCGAUCGGAGCCGGUGAACUCAUCCACGCGGCCACACCCAUCAUCUCUCUCUACAACGGGUGUUUGCUAUUUGUGCCUCAGAAGUCUCAGAAACAUAACCAAAUCUGCAGCCAAGAAUGUGAGGAACAAUCUAAGCAAUGCUUGAGAGAGACAUUUCACUACAGAGAGGUAGAAGAUGAAUGGGGAUCUUAAAGGUGAAGGGCCAGAAAUACGAGGACGGAGAUGAGGAAGUACAUGGUAAUAUGGGUGGGUGGGACCGAAUCUUGCUGCUGGUUUGGAGAAGAGGAGAACAUUGGGGCUUUCCUUUUGAUUUAUAGCCUAAGGGCAUCUUUUGGUCUUCAUUUGGCAGGGAAAAUGCUCAUUGACAUAAGUUUUUGCAAACUACGCGCGUAUGGCACAUGAUUCAUGAACUGUUAAAAUGGAUGGAGAUCUAUAAACCCAAGUGGGAUUAUGUGGUCAAGUUUAAACCUCAAGGGUAAAGCGCCUAUAAAAUGGACUUUUCGCAAAUUUAUACGUAUUGUGGUCUAGUACUUUUGUGUCAGUACAUUUUUUGUGCAUCAUUUGCUUGUUGCUUUUGAUUCAGGCUACUUGUUUCAUUUUUCUGCUUUGAUAUGCUUCACGGCGAACUACCACUACCUAUAAAUCUUGAUUCUGGUGUACUUUAGGUUUACACCAUCCUCAAUUACUGUCCAAUUGGCAAAAUUGUCGAGAAAAGGAAAGAAGCUAGGAGGGAAACGAAAACAAACCGAAGUGUUAAGUUUGAGAUAAAAUAAAAGUGAAACAGGAAACAAAUUUGAUAAUUGCAUCUUUCCAUCUGGUUUGGAUAAUUCAUGAGGAAAAGAAGAGCAAGACGUGUUAUUCUCUCCUGGUGCUUGGAAAAGAUAAACGAUAAAUGACAGACGGUUGAUAGUUUUUUGUGCUUAUUAGGGAAAGGAAUAUGGUUUGUUCCCAUUUCUCUCCUCGAAAGCUAUCUAAACAGGUGAUUAUGCAGGAGAGAGUCCAUUCCGUUUUCUUUCCUAUAAAGUUACUCCAUCUUUACUUUUUUUUUCUACUCUAAGCACCACCACUACAGUGCAUUUGUUUCUCUUUCAUUGCACCCCUAAUUGAAGGCAUCAGUCUUCUUAACUCAAUAACCGAGUCAUGUUGACAAUCACCUACUAACUGAUGGGGGAUGAACACUUUGUUGCUCUAUAAAUUGGCUUCUCGAUUCCCUAGUUUCGCUUUCUUAUGUUUCUAGUUACGCUUUCUUUUGUGAAGCAUUAAAUAUCUUGAACCUUGAGAGCAAUUUUUAUAUUUUAGUUUGGAAGGGGCAGAGUCUUCACGUCUCCUCCUUUUUAUCCUUUCAAAUUCUUCACACUUCAGUUGCCAUUUACCUUUACAAUGGAUCAGUUUGGUAUGAAGGUUAAGCGUCCGUCGUGUCUGGUUUGGCUUUGCAAUAUGACUUUGGUUUUCUGUGGAGGAUGAUCAUAAUUAGCGUUGGCAAUAUCUGUUGACCAAUUUAUAACUUCCUGUCGUCAUGGACUUGGGUACAAGUGUCGAGUGCGGGUAUGUGUCUAAGUAUUGGUUCAGUUAAUAUCUGUCUUAAGGAGAUGGGAAUAAGGCCAAAAGUUCAGAUUUGGUAGCAUAUUUCUUUUUUCUCUCUCUCGAUUAAUUAGUGUUUACUAAUUCUCUUUCAUACAUCACAUAGGAGUUUCUUGCAUAAUUCAUGGUAAAUCCGAAUGAGAAAAUAGGCUUGCUAGGUGCAUGUUCAAGUAAAUAUGUCGGAUACAGAGUCCAUAUCCUUGUCCGAGUGAUGAGUGCCCAACACUCAUGUUUUGGUUAUUUGGAAAUGUAGGUCAUGCCCAUGCUCCUUAUCGUUAUCGUUGUGAAGUAUAGAACUAGAUCAUAUUCAUGAUGUCAGAAAUCUCUGCAACUAGUUCUUUUUUCUCUCUAGUAAGUUGAACUUUUAUGCAUAUGGUCUUGCCACCCACAUCUGAUUUGAGUCGUUCAACCCCUGUGGUAUGUUGAUAUCAGUUGAUGAGGAACCUCUUGCCCCCUUAUGGGAGACUCUCUGCACUUUGGAUUGUAUUCUGAAAGAAUCUCAAACCUGUCAUUCCAUGGUCUAACACUCUAACUAACCUUGUAUGUUUUUGCCAUGUGCAAACCUUCAACAUGUGAGAUAUGCAAACCUUAGAGGGUGGUAUCUGGUCUCUGAGCUUUAUCCAUUGAUUUGUGUGGAAGGAUAAGAAAAAUACUCUGAUGGGCAUUCUAAGUGGACCUGCGCAUAGAGUUCUUAUUUGAUUACUUGGCGGUUUCUUUUUGCCUUUCAGAGGCAGUGUGGUGUACAUAGAGUACUUUUUGUAUCUACAAGGGUCCAAACUAAUAUUAGAGGGAACACUAUGUUUACCUGUUUUGUAUCAUACUGGCCAGUUCCCAUUUCGUAGACCACCCAAAACCUCUUUGUGGCAAACCGAUCUCAGGAGGAUCCCUUAAGGCUGUAUAAUAUUAGAGGGAACACUUUUUUUUCAAUGGUAUGGUUAUUGAGGAAAAACUACGUAAAUAGGUAACAUAGGUAGUAAGCCACCUACUUCAGCACGACAACUUUCAGUUUCUUGGGUUAUUAUUUGCUAUCAUUGUCCGUGACGUAAUUUUGAUAAAUGAAGUUGCUUUUUUGAAAUUAUUAGAUUUUGUUUUGAUGCUGUUGGCAUUGGCUGCUUUGUACCAGGCGAAUGAAGUGCAUGGGCUUAUCGACUUUGAGAGAUACGUUGGGAACCUUCUCUCUCGCCAGCAUGAUACACACUCCAUUUCAGAACUCACUGUUUCUCUAAAUGCCAUAAUCUCAUUGGUAGGAAUGUAUAAUUUAUUUCAUAAAAUUUCCAGUUUGAUGUGAACUUGAUACAGCUGCUGCUUAGCUGAUAUAAUUCAGGCAUCAGCUUUGCAAUGUUCAUUUCAAUAUGUGCGAAUGUAGCUCAGUUUCACCUCCACCUUCCUCCUCAAACUUUUUCUUCUCUUUUUGUACAGGUAAGUAAACUUGUGACCCUUACUGCUACAGAUAUGAAGCACGUUGAUCGGAAGCUCAAAUUAUGCCAGGAUCCGAGCUCACAUGACAAGUAUUGCUAAUGCACUUUUAUGUAUUAGGAGUAACUUUUGCUUUGAUAGUGUGCUCUCUGUCUCUCAAUUGUCGUUGAUUUGUUGUAUAAGGAGUAAGAAACAAAAGCACUGGUCCAAGGAGAGUUCAAGUGAAUUGCAUGCAUAAUUUCACUGUUUGUUACGGUGCCUCGACAUGUACGUUUCACUUCAAGAAUGUGGUUUUCCAAUUUGGGAAUUCUGCUUAAUUUGUUUUGAUUUUGAUGUGGUCUGAAGCAGUCAUACCACUUCGUACAUGACUUGAAAAAUUAGUGAGCGAGCGGUUGUUGAUUAGCUACAGUCCGUUGUAUACUUAUGGUGAUUAUUAUGACAUCACUGACCUUGUAUUGUUGGAGGAAUCUCUCUGAGAAAAUAUCACCAUUACGAAUGCAAGCGGAGGAAAUUGAAUCCUCAUUGUUGAGACAUUGGGUUUCAAGCUCCAGUGUUUAAAUUUCAGUUUAUGAAACUACCAAUUAAAGUGCAUCAUUAUGAUUUCAGUUUGAGGCCAAUUGAAUCCUCUGAUUUGCUUCUUUUUUGUUUGGGAUCCAUUCAUGUUGCAUAUGGAAUCCGUAGGUAGAUUAUCAGAACCAUAAUCUGGUCUAAUUUUGUAACUAAUGUCAAUGUGGUAUGUUAUGCACUUGGUAGUUUAUGAGACCAACAAUUUGGUUUGUUUUGACUGUGAACUGAAGAUCUGUUUUGGUAAUGCCAUUUAAGAGAUGUUUGGAACCUGUUUAUGACAUGUUUUGUAUGUGGUAUGUUAUGAACCUGUUUUGUUUAAGAGAUGUUUAGAGCAGGUUCUCUGUUACUUACUGCAGUUUGUGACUGCAGCAUUCUGUAUGAAUCUGCACUUGGACUGAAGCUGUUAGUUACUGCACUUGGAAUCUGCACUUGGAAGCUGUUAGUUACUGCAUCAGUUGAAUCUGCAGUUGUAUUGGUUUUUAGAGCAGGUUUUGACUACUUUGAUUACUUUAGGUCUUCACUUAAGAUUCUCUUGUGGUUGAGCUGUCCUUUGUUUAUGUAACCCUUCAACAUUGGCAGGUUGAGAAAGUAUUUGGUGCUAGUCAGCCAGAUAUUCUUGAAAUUGAGAAGGUAAAGAAAAUGCUCAAGAAAUGCAGUUUUUUCGAUGACUAUUACUGCUGCAGCUGAUGGGAAUUGCUACUGGGUUGGAAGUGCGGAGGUAUUGGGACCGCAAUGCUUGUAUCGGGCGAAUUUUCUGCUGCUCAAACAAUGAAUCAGCUCUCCACGACCAUUAAAAUCAAACAAUCAUUGGAGGGGAUGCAAUAUGGAGUGAGCCCUUUCUUUCAUUCUCCUACUGCUACACUACUAUUUGCUUUGGUUCUACUUCUCUGCUCACUAGGUUCCAAGCGUGAGAAUGGUGCCCACGUUCGUUAGCGGAAAGAAUCCCUCAACUGAAGAAGAUUUUGGAAGCUCUAUCUAUAUUAUUCAUUUUUCUAGUGUUACUAGUAAGGUACAGACGUAUAGUAAUGAGACGGCGUAUGUGGUUUUAUAGACAAUCUUGUGAAUGAUUUCGACAAUGUGUUUCAUUCGGACGUAAGUGGUUUGAUUGAAAAUCUUGUCAAUGAUUUCGACAAUGUGUUUCAUUCGGAAAUAUGGAAGACAGAUUUGUUGGA